UCGCGCGUUUUUUUGAACUCGCGGGCGGCAGGCUUGCGCUGGGGCGACGGCCAAACAGGGUUCAACAGGUUACAGGGAAAGAAAAGAUCAAUGGCGGUAUCGAUUGACCAGGCCCCGCUUAGUCUCGCCUUCGCAUCGGCUAGGUGCAGGUGCCGGUUUCGGGCGCGAUCGGCCGCAGCAGGCUAGCGUAUCGACACGCUCAUCGAAUGAGAUCUGAAAAUCCAAAGAGAGUAUGAUUGGGGGUUACCGUGAAGAAAGUCUUGAGAAUUACUGACGCUGAAAUGCGAGGUC
rnacentral:misc_RNA from 1 species